UCCGGUUUGUCACCGGCAGUCUCACUAGAGUGCCCAACUUAAUGUGGCAACUAAUGACAAGGGUUGCGCUCGUUGCGGGACUUAACCCAACAUCUCACAACACGAGCUGACGACAGCCAUGCAGCACCUGUGUUGCGGUUCCCUUUCGGGCACUCCUGCAUUUCUGCAGGAUUCCGCACAUGUCAAGGGUAGGUAAGGUUUUUCGCGUUGCAUCGAAUUAAACCACAUCAUCCACCGCUUGUGCGGGCCCCCGUCAAUUCCUUUGAGUUUCAGCCUUGCGGCCGUACUCCCCAGGCGGGGCACUUAAUGCGUUAGCGCCGGCACCCAGGGGGUCGCUCCCCCAGGCACCUAGUGCCCAUCGUUUACGGCGCGGACUAC
rnacentral:misc_RNA from 1 species